rnacentral:rRNA from 1 species
UGGGGAAUUUUGGACAAUGGGGGAAACCCUGAUCCAGCCAUCCCGCGUGUGCGAUGAAGGCCUUCGGGUUGUAAAGCACUUUUGGCAGGAAAGAAACGUCGCGGGUUAAUACCCCGCGAAACUGACGGUACCUGCAGAAUAAGCACCGGCUAACUACGUGCCAGCAGCCGCGGUAAUACGUAGGGUGCAAGCGUUAAUCGGAAUUACUGGGCGUAAAGCGUGCGCAGGCGGUUCGGAAAGAAAGAUGUGAAAUCCCAGAGCUUAACUUUGGAACUGCAUUUUUAACUACCGGGCUAGAGUGUGUCAGAGGGAGGUGGAAUUCCGCGUGUAGCAGUGAGAUGCGUAGAUAUGCGGAGGAACACCGAUGGCGAAGGCAACCUCCUGGGAUAACACUGACGCUCAUGCACGAAAGCGUGGGGAGCAAACAGGAUUAGAUACCCCUGGUAGUCCACGCCCUAAACGAUGUCAACUAGCUGUUGGGGUCUUCGGGCCUUGGUAGCGCAGCUAACGCGUGAAGUUGACCGCCUGGGGAGUACGGUCGCAAG